UUUUUAUUUACUUAUCAUUAUCACUUUGUUCAUGCUCUGUUCUCACUUCACAGCUUCAAACUAGGAACAUUUUAAAACUUGCAGGUGUCCUUAAAAAUUACACACUAUUGAGAAAGCUUAUGGCUUUUAAGCAUUUACACUAGUGGUUCCAGUGAAACCUGCUGUAAUUGAUCGAUCAGUUGCACAUUCACAGCUUGUUUAAGCUGAAAUUCUAUUUCCAUGAUACAUUUUUCUGCAAAGGACUUUCUGCAAAAUCCCUUCUGGAGCUGGUUUCCUUUAUUCCCGUGGGACGUGCUGCAGUGCCAGAGGAAGGAGCACCGCGCCUGUCCCUGCACGGUCCCCACCUCUUCCCUUUCGCUCCCUGAUGCUGCCUUCCAAGCCUUUCUUGGCCUGGCUGUCAUUACAGCACCCCAAAAAGAGCGUGUGUUUAAUAACACUUCCAACAACUUCUGGAAAGGAGCCUCCGAGUUAUUGGACCUGUGAGAAGGCAAUAAUCGACAACGAACAAGUUGGUGGGCUGUACACAUCUGUGUACUCUGCCUUGGAAAAUAAAGGCUGUUGCCAUGGCAACUGCCACAAGCUGGGCCCGUACAUUAGUUAUGGUGAGACUGGGGCGUUGAGUGCAGGCCCCGGCCCCGCCUGUGUGCUGGGCCUGCGCUGUGCCCAGGGGCCAGGCCUGACCGCUGGCGCUGUGCGGCCGCAGCGGCCUUGUCUCACCUGGGGAGCAAAUAAAAAAAAGUGUGAGAGUACCCCCGUAAACGAGCAGCCCAGCUGUAAAACAAACUGUGCAGAAAUUGCAACCGAGCUGAUGAUGAUCUUGGGAUCUUCUUACCAGAAGCUGGCUGAGGAAAUAUAA
rnacentral:lncRNA from 1 species